AGAGAGCCCUUAGGCCCAGAGAAGAAAAGCUGAAGUGAGACCUUGUCUAACUUGUCAUCCUUUGUUAAUAGCAUAAAGGGUUCCCUGCAUUCUAAUUGUUUCUCUUAAAUGACAUGGUUGAAAUUUUCACAGCUGAGAAAUAUCAUUAUUAAAAGACUUAAUUGGAAAAGCUAUGCUGACUCCAGACUCCGGUGGGUUGAAUUGUAACCUUUUCUUUUUCUAU
rnacentral:lncRNA from 1 species